AUUGAACGCUGGCGGCAGGCCUAACACAUGCAAGUCGAGCGGGGUUUUCGGACCUAGCGGCGGACGGGUGAGUAAUGCGUAGGAAGCUGCCCGAUAGAGGGGGAUACCAGUUGGAAACGACUGUUAAUACCGCAUAAUGUCUACGGACCAAAGUGUGGGACCUUCGGGCCACAUGCUAUCGGAUGCGCCUACGUGGGAUUAGCUAGUUGGUGAGGUAAUGGCUCACCAAGGCGACGAUCUCUAGCUGGUUUGAGCGGAUGAUCAGCCACACUGGAACUGAGACACGGUCCAGACUCCUACGGGAGGCAGCAGGGGGGAAUAUUGGACAAUGGGCGCAAGCCUGAUCCAGCCAUGCCGCGUGUGUGAAGAAGGCCUUCGGGUUGUAAAGCACUUUCAGCGAGGAGGAAGGGUGGUGUGUUAAUAGCACAUCAUUUUGACGUUACUCGCAGAAGAAGCACCGGCUAACUCUGUGCCAGCCGCCGCGGUAACAC
rnacentral:rRNA from 1 species